rnacentral:rRNA from 1 species
UGGAUGACCUGCCUUUAACUCUGGGAUAAGCCUGGGAAACUGGGUCUAAUACCGGAUAUGACUCCUCAUCGCAUGGUGGGGGGUGGAAAGCUUUUUGUGGUUUUGGAUAGACUCGCGGCCUAUCAGCUUGUUGGUGAGGUAAUGGCUCACCAAGGCGACGACGGGUAGCCGGCCUGAGAGGGUGACCGGCCACACUGGGACUGAGACACGGCCCAGACCUCCGUACGGGAGCAG